AGAGGAUACCAGAAGUUGUUAGGCUAACCGUAAGGAGGCCGAUUACCACGGUAUGUUUUAUGACUGGGGUGAAGUCGUAACAAGGUAGCAGUAGGUGAACCUGCAGAAGGAUCA
rnacentral:rRNA from 1 species